UUUGAGGGAGGCAGCUUUCUCCCCCCCUCCUCUCUCUCUCCCCUUUCCUUCUCCUAACAGCUCGGCGCUAAGAAAUGGGUGGUGCCUGCAUGCCAGGCUUCAUCCAAACGAGACGCCAAAGGCCGAGGAGAGGCUGGCACAAAGGGACGCUGGCAGGAAUUCCAGCACUCAGGAGCUGCCUUUCCUUGUGCCCUUGGGACAAUCCCUCUUUAUUACGUAGCUCAGAUUUAAAAACCAAAAAAAAAAAACAAACCACCCGUUCUGGUCUGAAAAGUUACCCAAGCCCAAUCAAAAACAACCCAAAGGACAAAAACUUCCUUUAGAUCAACACAGGUUACACAAAAGGCCAGUUUUUACCUCCCUCCCCCCCCACCGCCCUGACCUCCCCAGCAUGCCAGCCCAACAUCCGCGUGAAAAUAAAUCCUGGUUCCCUCCUUCCUGGUUUUCAGGAGGUGGCGGGGUCCUUUAGCAGGAGUGAGAGCGAGACACACCCAAAGAGAGAGAGAGAGAUCUAUAGCGAAAAACCUUACCGCAGAGGAAGAAUCAGUUUUUGCUGUCUUUAAGUACCUGGGGCUGUGCCGAUAAUAAAAGGGGGUUAAGAAGUGGGGGUAGGGGGCGGGGGGCAGAUGGGGGCUGGUAAUGCAGCUGGGGAGAUGCCAAAAAAAGCAGAACAAAACACGUUUUAGUUUUGUCUGCACCAGCCUGCGACAGUGAGCAAGCGAGCGAGCGAGAUGCACAGUGAAAACGCUGCUGAGCUCGGAAACGGGCCUACAGCCACUUUGGAAGCCUCGGCAAUAAUUCUCUCCCUUCCUCGCAUUCACCCUGCCCACUCUGGCUCGGCUGCCAAGUCGGAGAGUUGGCACGGCUUCCCAGGCAGCGCGGAACAAAGCCGUCACCCAUCCCUGAACAGGCGCUGACGGCAGGCUAAGUGACAGGCGCAUCUUCUGCAUGUUAAUCCAAGGGGUGAGGAGGAGAGAGCAAAAUCCACCGGCUCCCCCGCCACCGGCCACUCCUUUCCAACCCGAGCCCCGGUGGGCCCCGUGCACCGUCCGCAAGGCAGGAGCCCUGGAGAAACAGAGCUGGCCCGGCAAGUCAAACAAACAAGCAAGCAAGCGCAGGAUUUAAAUACAAACCACCGCCCGACCCAGCAGCACCCUGGCAAACAAGGCCGCUCGGCAUCUGCUGUACCUGUUCCCGCUGCCUUCAUCUCGCCUUGGAACCGUGACAAGAGAGAAGCGUCGCCUCUGGUGGGCUCUCGCAGCCUCGGGUCUGCAACCCUGUGCAGGAAGUUGGCACCGAUCCCAGCGCCUGCAUUAUUCCAGUCCACAAGCGGGAAGGAGUUUACAGUACAGACUCUCUCUUGAGGCUGCCAGCAGGAAAGAGAGGGAGUUCUCACAAUCGAACAGCGAGAAGAGCAAGGAGAAAUUAACAUCCAAUUAGCGCCGUGUUUAACGAGGGAGACAGAGACAGCCGUUGUUUUAUUGCCCUGUUCUUUUCAUUCGGAUCUGACAGGCAGCGCGGCAGGCACCCCCGGCUGCAGUGACGUCAUUUUCCCCCCCUUUUUCCUCCAACAAGUUUCCCAGAGGUGGAUCGUCAACUCAGCUGGGGAAAUUCGUUACUUUCUUGCAUUAAAAAUUAUUCUCCCUCCUCCCCACCCCAAAAAAACGAACAAAAAAACCCAUCUCCCUUCGUUCUUGUAAAAGCCAAUCCAGGAGACUAUUUCUCUGCGUGUCUGUCUCGCUCGCUUGUUUUCCUGCUCUGAGACAGCUCUCUCAGCUUGUAAAAGUUUGAGCCAUGUGACACUCCACCCAGCCUCCUUUGGCAGCGUGACAAGAACCGCUUUGGUGUAUCAAAGAGAACAGGCAGCUUUUAAGGAAGAAACUCGAUUCAGAAAGAUUAAAGAAUUAUGAUGUUUUAAUCAAGGGAGAGAGAGAGGUUGGGGAGGGAAAACUGCUCAUUGCAUCUGGAUCAACAGGAGCGGCCUUCACAAAAGGCUGUGGCAGCAGAAUAGACAGCAGGAGUGUUUGAGGAGGUGGUGGUGGUGGGGGGGGUUUGAAGCAGAAGUGGGAGAGACUUAUUUAACAGUUCCAAGCUCAUCAUUUUCCCCUCCUCCCGCCCCCCCUCC